UACGUAGGGUGCAAGCGUUGUUCGGAAUUAUUGGGCGUAAAGGGCGCGUAGGCGGUGCGGUAAGUCUGUAGUGAAAUCUCUGGGCUCAACUCAGAGUCUGCUGCAGAAACUGCCGUGCUUGAGUGUGGGAGAGGAGAGUGGAAUUCCUGGUGUAGCGGUGAAAUGCGCAGAUAUCAGGAAGAACACCCGUGGCGAAAGCGGCUCUCUGGAACGGUACUGACGCUGAGACGCGAAAGCGUGGGGAGCGAACAGG
rnacentral:rRNA from 1 species